CCUCGGCAAACAUUCAACGCUGUCGGUGAGUUUUUGGUAUGGAUCCUAUAAAAACCAUCGACCGUUGACUGUGCCCCGCGG
rnacentral:pre_miRNA from 1 species